rnacentral:rRNA from 1 species
UACAGAGGUCCCAAGCGUUGUUCGGAUUCAUUGGGCGUAAAGAGUGCGUAGGCGGUCCCGCAAGUCCGCUGUGAAAGCCCCGGGCUUAACCUGGGAAUGGCAGUGGAAACUAUGGGACUUGAAUCUGGCAGAGGUGGGUGGAAUGCCACGUGUAGCAGUGAAAUGCGUAGAGAUGUGGCGGAACACCGAUGGCGAAGGCAGCCCCCUGGGCUGAGAUUGACGCUCAGGCACGAAAGCGUGGGGAGCAAACAGG